UUUGAUCUGGCUCAGAUUGAACGCUGGCGGGAUGCUUUACACAUGCAAGUCGAACGGCAGCACGGACUUCGGUCUGGUGGCGAGUGGCGAACGGGUGGUAAUGUAUCGGAACGUGCUAAUGUAGGGGAUAACUACGCGAAAGCGUAGCUAAUACUGCAUACGCCCUUCAGGGGAAAGCGGGGGGACCUUCGGGCCUCGCACUAUUGAAACGGCCGAUAUCGGAUUAGCUGGUUGGUGGGGUAACGGCUCGCAAGGCGACGAUCCGUAGCUGGUUUGAAGGACGACCAGCCACACUGGGACGAGACACGGCCGAACUCUACGGGAAGGCAGCAGUGGGAAUUUACGGACAAUGGGGAAACCUGAUCCAGCCAUCCCGCGUGUGCGAUGAAGGCCUUCGGGUUGUAAAGCACUUUUGGUAGGAAAGAAACGGCACGGGAUAAUACCCCGUGCAACUGACGGUACCUGCAGAAUAAGCACCGGCUAACUACGUGCCAGCAGCCGCGGUAUUACGUAGGGUGCAAGCGUUAAUCGGAAUUACUGGGCGUAAAGCGUGCGUCGGUUCGGAAAGAAGGUGUGAAAUCAGGCUUAACUUUAGGAACUGCAUUUUUAACUACCGAACUAGAGUGUCAGAGGAGGUGGAAUUCGCGAUGUAGCAGUGAAAUGCGUAGAUAUGCGGAGGAACACCGAUGGCGAAGCAGCCUCCUGGGAUAACACUGACGCUCAUACGCAAGCGUGGGGAGCAGGCAGGUUAGAUACCCUGGUAGUCACGCCUAAGCUUGUCAACUGACUGUUGGGGCCUUCGGGCCUUGGUAGCGCAGCUAACGCGUGAAGUUGACCGCCUGGGAAAUACGGUCGCAAGAUUAAAACUCAAAGGAAUUGACGGGGACCCGCACAAGCGGUGGAUGAUGUGGAUUAAUUCGAUGCAACGCGAAAAACCUUAUUGACAUGUCUGGAGUCGAAAGAGAUUUGGGAGUGCUCGCAAGAAGAGAACCGGAACACAGGUGCUGCAUGGCUGUCGUCAGCUCGUGUCGUGAGAUGUUGGGUUAGUCCGCAACGAGCGCAACCCUUGUCGUGGUUGCUACGAAAGGGCACUCUAAUGGACAUUGACAAACCGGAGGAAAGAGGUGGGGAUGACGUCGAUCUCAUGGCCUUAUGGUGGGGCUUCACGCGUCAUGCAAUGGUCAGGACAGGGUCGCCAACCCGCGAGGAGCCAAUCCCAGAAACCCGAUCGUAGUCGGAUCACAGUCUGCAACUCGACUGCGUGAAGUCGGAAUCGCUAGUAAUCGCGGAUCUUGUCGCAGUGAAUACGUUCAGGUCUUGUACACACCGCCCGUCACACCAUGGGAGUGGGUUUUACCGAAGUAGUUAGCUAACCGUGGGAGGGCGAUUACCACGGUAGGAUUCAUGACUGGGGUGAAGUCGUAACAAGGUAG
rnacentral:rRNA from 1 species